rnacentral:tRNA from 1 species
GCUCGCUUAGCUCAGUCGGUUAGAGCGCGACGCUAAUAACGUUGAGGUCGCAGGUUCGACCCCUGCAGUGAGCA